GGCUGCCCGAAGUCUUCACACAUAUCCACGUGGUGCCAUACUGGCACAUAAAGUAGUUCUAAGAUUUUUUAAAGUUUUGAAUGUGUUUUUUUUCAAUCUUCCUUUUGGGUCUAUCUGUGUGGUAUGAUGCAGUGCUAUGUGGUGACACCUACACUGGCUGGGUCAGAUACCAGCAGCCUUAUUGCCGCUCUGGCAUGGGGCACUUCUAGGUGACUGGGUCUGUUAAGCAACACAUGUUCUUUAUGGUAUCCUACCAUCUCUUCUGUCUAUCACAUUCUCAGGUUUAUAACUCAGGGUCGUGUCCUUACUGCAUGCUGUAUACUUAGGUGGCUUUUUCUUCUUUUUUUUCUUUUUUCACAUGAAGCUGUUCUCUGAGGCUGCUGUGUCAGUUGGCCCUCACUAGCCAUCGCCUCAUGCCAUAAGAGUUUUCCAUCCUUUUUUGCCAGGGGCACUGAAUAAAUUCACGGUCUGAGUAUCCUCCUCCCUAAUCUGUGCUUUGGUCUGUUGACCACCCCAUUUUCUUUCAUUCAUCACUUUUCAACUAAUGCAAAUAGGAUGAAAUAUUGACUUUUUUUUUAGCCAAGAAAAAUACUCCCAUUGAUAUUAAUGGCCCUUGUAUUGUUCCUGUUUCUUAAGGCUUCUUUUUCUCCACAUCUUCUCCUUUCUUUUCUGUCUUACACUUCAUCUUUUCAUAUGCCUUACCUUUCUCAGAAACUCAGGUCCUCUAGCUACUGUAUCUUAUUUUCCUAUUCAGCUUCCUAUAUUACUUAUUCCUAUAUUCUUACAUAUUCGUACAACUCUACUUUCUUCUCUUAGGCUUGAAACCUCUGAUUUGGAUCUUCUUAUGUCAGUGUUCAGACUCUCCAUGCCUUUUGCCUAUUCCUUUCAUUUCUCUUAGCUGUUCAUUGCUAUUCUUUUAAAACUCUUCUAAGAAUUACUGAGGCAGCAAUAUUUAAAGCAUUACUGUUACCAAAAGCUAACACUUUGUCAGUUUUAGUGUUACAACUCGUGAGGUCCCAGGUGUCUGCUGGAGCAGGAAUACCUUUGCCCAGUUGUGGUGGUUUCUGUCACACCUUUUCUGUGACAGCACUGAAUGUAAAUGGAUGCGGAACUGGAUGUAGCUCAUGGGUCAGCUGAUGUGAGAGGUAAAGGAUGCAUAUAACUUGAGGAAAUUCAUUAGUCGUAAUAAUUUCUGCCAACUCCAGAAGAAAGUAGGAAUAUAUGUCUCCAGGGCACAUUAUUUUCUGGGAUGCUUUUGGGAUGGUGUUAUUUAUGCCCCACCCAUAGGCAAGCAUGGGAAUAAAAGGCAUAAUCAAAGCCUUAUUUAGUUUAAAUAUAGAUCUCUGUGGUUCUGGAACAGCAAAUCCUUCAUUUACAUCUCUGCUGAUGGUCAUGUAGAGUGUGUGGGCACAGAAUCAUUACCAGUGACAUCCUUUCAGUCUUUACUGGGUAACUGUGCAUGCACUGAGGCUUGUAAAACCAGGAGGUAAACGCCCUCACUGACACCAGGAUUGUCAGUGCUAUUACACUGCAAGUUGCUGUAGUGUAUUAGUUUAAAAAAUACAGAUAUGUGUAUUGGUAUCCAUGAAUUUCUGCUCCGUGUAAUUUCACAUAUCCACAGAAUUUAAACACCUGCCUUCAUCCACCCCUCCAGCAUAGGAAAGGGAAUGAGCCCCAAGGCAGAGAACCCCUCACUGGGCGUGUCUCAUCCUUUUAGACCUCAGCCCCAAGCAGCCUAAGGCCUCAGAAGCUCAGAUUAGCUGUCAGUAGAGUCCGGGAAGCAGAAUCCAUAGUUCAACAUUCGAUUCAGUUUAAAAUCUGUUUUAUUCCUCUCAAUUUUCUUUGAUGGUCUUUCAGCUUUCCCUGGAGUUGUGUAAAGGCUGAUUUUGCCGAUACUGGCAUUUCCACCAAAAGAAAUUCUCCUAAGGAAAAUCUCUUAAGUUAAAUAUAGGAGAACAUUUUACAUGAUGUGAUAAAGAUAUAAUAAGCUUUUUUACAUUUAAUUCUAGGCUGUUUGAUGUUUGUGGUAUUUAUUUUUCAGGUAGCCCAGACAUACUUUUGUCAUUGUUCUAUUUCAUUGACAAAAAUCAGUUACUGCUUUAGAUUUUUUACUACUAUUUCAGUUUUCUUUAUAUGUUUAUGUUUUAGUGUUUCUUUUCAGUGACUAAUGGAUAGGCUGCAUAUUUACAAAAAUAUGGAGGAGCUUGAUGUAAUAGUACUCCUAAGAGAUGUGGGACCUGGACCAGUACUCAAAGACCAGUGUGUCUGGGAGUGGAUGUCAACACAUGAAAAUGGUAUUGAAGUUAUGCACAUAUCAAAAAUGUUUUGCUGCUAAUAGCACAUCAGGAGAUCGGCAUACUGAUAUUUUGUCAAACUGCAACAUAGUCUGUCUUGCUACAAAUACACAGACAACCUGUGGGGCACAGACACAAAUAGCACAAGCAGUAAAAUCAGUAAUUGUAUUCUGUUCUCAGUUAAAGCACCUUGUCACUAUUAAUUCUGAUGGAAACUUUAUGUUCCAUGGUACUCUCAUACCAGGGGGACAGUGGCCAUGCAGCUAACCAUUGUAUGCAGAUAUAACUGUGUCUAUACCAGUCACCCACUCUCUAUAAAUUUAUGUUAAUUUCUUUCCUUAUAGGUCAUUGUCUCAUGCUGCUUGCAGACACAGUUGUUCUUGUUCUGGAAGACAAAGGAGUAACACAUGGUAAUGGCUAUGGUGAAAGAUAAUCCACAACAUUCCUUUUUACUUUCAGAAUUUAGAGAUUUUUAAACAAAAUUAGUCCUGUCAGUUUUGCACAUUUAAAUCAGUAUGCAAUUUUCACUUCAUUUCCUCACUCACUUUCUACAAACAGUAAAUGAAGUGCUCUUAUUCUCAGCUAUUAAUUUUAUUGUGUUCCAGAAAUGAUGGGCCAUGCGUUCCUACUCUGAAGUGACUUACAGCUGGUCAAGUCUUCAGCCAGAAGACACUGAGGCUGAUAAACUUUUUCCUGUCUACUGAGGUCCACACUCUCUAGCUUCAGCACCUAACUCUUUGAAUCCUACUUAUGCAUAAAAAAAUUGACAUCUUGUCAGUGGUGUGACCCUGCAUAUCCUGUGAAUCAUGAGUUUUGAAGGGCAGGACAAAAUAAAGGAAAGACUGAAAUAAAGGUCUGAUGCUCUUUGUGACAUGUCUCUUCAACAUGCUGUAGGUUUCCAAGGACUCUGGGCAAGGAGAGAUACCGUUGAAAGACUAUGUCCUCCUAAUAAAUCUCAUCCAUAAUGUAUGCAGGCAACAGUUUAUAGACAUUUAAAGAGAAGAAAGGAAAAAGUAUGCUGUUUGUUUUAGAGUUGAACUCGAGGUUUCUUGUGCCUCUUGCUUUCAGAAGUUCAGCAUAUUCCUGCAGUCCUCGAGAGAUAUGUAAAUGAUAAGAAGAAAGACAAAUGAACACUUUCAGGACCCUUCAGGACCAGUGUGUUAUGAGGGACAUGGAAGAGGAGGUUGAAACCAACCUGAAAAUUCUCCGAGGUCUUUCCUGGAGUGGCUGCCCUUUCUGAAGAAAUGCUUCUGUGUUUGGCUGAAAAGAAAUGGCAUCUGGGGCAGGAUGAAACCAAAGUCCUGGCACAACGAGCAAAACCAGGUUGAUUUCUGGAUGUCAAAGGCCACUGCCCCAAAUGGACGCCUUCAGAGGAGCCUUUCUCACUAUGAAGGAAAGUGGAAUCAUCAUCAUCAUCUAGAAAUUUACCAUCUCUGGUUAUAAUUAAUUAGUUGAUAACUGGUUUGGUGUGAGCAGUCAAUGCUGCUGUUCUGUGGGACUAGGUGUAUGCAUUGCUGUUGUCCUGUAUAGUAGGACUAGCCUCUCACCCCAGAGCCUUAACAGAUUUUCACGGUGGGAAUGACUGAGCAAUGCUAGAACUGUUGAUAAAAAGCAUAUGGCCAUACUUUGUUGAGAAGCAUCUGUUUAUAUACAGAAAAGGUUAUUACCCCCCCUUAUUUUAAAGUCCAUUGAUUGCCAUGGGAGAUGUCCUAAUAUAUAUGUAGAACAUCCUAGAAUCUCUAAAAGUGAUACCAGCAACUUCAAAAGAUCUGGACUGAUUUUUAUGAAUUUUAUUGCAAGUGGAAGAUUUGUUCUCAGAAACACCUAUGGCAUUGAGAGUCCUCCAUUCAUUCUGAGGCAGUUGACUUACAUUUUAUUUAUGCAGCUUAUAAAUCUUUUUUGCUGGGCACUUGUGUCAGUUAAAGGAGCUGGUAAAGAGUAGAUGCAGGAAGGAAUGCACUUUUGGAAUAUGGUCAGAUGUCCCUGCUAUGGUUCUGUGUUAUUCAGAAAUAGCUGCCUACUGUGAAUGCUGCUUGCUACAGCUCGCAAAACUUUUUCUAAAGCAAGGGAAAGCCUGUGGCAGGAAGAAGUGGGCUGGCUGCUGAGUAAUUCCGUCAGUCACAUCAGACUGCCCUUGAAGAUGCUGUAACAACUCCUGCAAACUGAGUCCUCAAUGCUCUGUGCCUUUUGUCAUAUGAAGAGGAGGCACAAAGCCUGGGAACAUGACAUUCGUUUCUCUGACAUGCUUUGGUUAUGAUUACUGCAAAUAUCAUGUCCUGUGUAAGAACAUAACUUCUUUUUAGGAGGGAUUUCAGUAUAAUGCAUGUGGGUUUUCUAUGCAAAACCUGUUCACAGUUUAUGCAGCUCAAAGUGGGAGACAAUGGAUUGUUUGAGUUGCAAAACUAUGGAUGUAAAAAUAACUUCAAAGAUUUUGAAAUAAACCAUGAAGACUAUAUAAAACUAAAUGUUAUUAAAAAUAAUGGAGAAAAAAAUGCUAGAUAAUAGUGCCAUGAAGAAUACGCCCAGGAAAGUCACAGGAAAGUGUUGUUGGAAAAGUGGUGUAGCAGGCAAAUGCCCUGUGGUUUUGUACAGCAGAAAGCUGCAGACGUGAAAGUGAAUCCUGUGCUGCACGGACAGGCUGAGCAGAUGAGUCCACUGUAUGGUUUCUGGGACACAUUGGGUGCGAAUUCUCUUUUUUCAAGUCUGUGUAUGGGAACCAGCACUGGAUCAAAGCCAAAGUCUCGGCAACUGUCACCCAGGAAUAUAAUCUUAACACUUUCUCUUUUCUGGAUUUUAGGGUUUUUUUUAAUUCUUUCCCUUUCAGGACUUCCCAUAUUGGCUUGUGGCAGGAUAAUCAGAGAGGAAUAUGUGAGAUGGAGAUGGUAGAAGUCUGUGAAUGAUGAUCGGUUGUAUUUGGAGUUGGAAAGAGGAGAUCAACUUCCUGCAAAUUCUGACACCACAGUCAGUUUGAGGAAUGAUAAUGGGAGUGGGUUAAAAAGAGUGGUUUGAGAAGGAGGGCCAACAUGCAGAACCCUCUCAGAGUUGCAUGAUGUCUGGAGACUCCAGGCUUAGAAAGGCUAAAGGUGGCCAAACUGGGGCUGCCACUGUGGAACACUUUGUGUACAAAAAUUUUAGUGUGGAGGGGACAGAGCAGGUUUCAGUGCCUGCCAUCACUCAAGCAGUGAGUGGAUAUUUGGAAAGGAAAGUGUGAAAGAAGGGUGGUGGUGGGAUAAACCAGUGAGACAGGAAAGGGAUGAAGGGGACAUCCCCAUGGUAGGACCAGGCAGGUACCCACACCAUUUCACCACAUGCUUCCACGUAAAUCCAGUUCUGGAGCAGCUUAAUUACAUGCUUUGAAAGAGCAGCUGAUUUUAUGCAGACCACCUCAAACUGACCAGGCAACAAAGUGUAAAUAAGCCGUAACUCUGAAGUUUCUUUAAAUUACUGAUUGUCUGCAAUGAAUCAAGGUGGAUCCUGUUUAGUUGCUAGCCUGAGGGCAAAAUUAGCUGAGGAUAUUUUACAAACUGAUGUUUGACUCACUCAAGCUACUCUGUAAAUUGUCUUGAACAGUUGAAAGGUGCCAAAGUGUUCCUAUUUGUGGAAAAUUUUAUUUUCUUUUUGUGUUUUCCUAUAUGACUGUUAAGUUCCCAUUGUGCCUAAGAUAAAAGCACAAGCAGUUCCACUGUGCCUUUUUAGUUUUAUUUCUAUUUAAAAAAAUGACGAGUGUAUUAGCAUGCAAGUUGGCUGAGGUGGCAUGACAGAAGUUUUCAUUACAAUGUGAUGAAAAAGCUGAUUUACCUUAGCUCUCCUUGUGCAGCUUCUGAGCAUACAACAUCAAACACCCUCCAAUUAAGGGAAAACAUCUAAUGUGUCUUUGACAAUUACAAGAAGUGCUGUAAAAAUAACCAAGGAUUAAGCGUAGCACAAUUGCUGGCCUGGCACAGUGCCUGCGCAAGGAGCACUGCACGCUGCCACAAGAGAGGGAAGAUUUUUGCUUUUUGGGUCUGUUGCAUUCCUCUGAGAUUGUGGAGGGGAAGUGAUUAGAGGUAACGCCGAGGUUUUUGGCGUGGAAUAACAUAGCGGCAGCACCUUCCCUGGGCACUGUGGGAGGACGUACCCAGGGCUGGCUCUGAAAGGGCUGUCAGCCCAGCCCUCUGUGCCUUCUUUUGCAGGGAAAGCCAGAGGCGUCUUCAGACACAAUCCAACAGGUAUCAAAUAUGACAACAUAACCCCGCGUAAAGGGUGUGAUAGGCAAAAAGCAAUCAGGCAAGCAAAUCUGUGUUAAGGCUUGCUUUCAAGGUCUGUUCUUUGUACUAGUCUCUCUAUAAUUCUGCCUACAGCUAGCACAUACCAAAGGCAGCGGGGAGGCCUGUGUGGGCAUGCAAUGAAACCGCUUUGCUCUUUGCUGUGAUCCUUGGCAUGGGAAGCAGUCUUGUCUGAAGAAGAAUACAUAUUCUUUUUUUGUUAUCAGGAGUUGUUUAGUUGUCGUUUUUAAACAGCUUAAAGUAUAAAAAGAGGUAACAACUAGCAGCUGUGGGGCUGCAAGGGAAAGGUACAGUGGGUUUGCUAAAGAGUCUCUAAUACACAAGGUUUCAUGUUGUGCAAUACCUGUGCUAUUUUUCUGAGAAAUAAAUUUUACUCUUGCAAUGACUGUGUGGAAUAUGAUAUGAAUGAACACUAGACUUAGGUAUUAAAAAGGUGAUGUGAAGUGCAAACUGAUA